GCUUUCCGAGGGCAGCGCGCAGCCACAGUGUCCGCUGCGCGUGCUGGGGGACGGCGCCUUACAGGCUGCCCACCUGCCUCCUCAGGGUGGAAGGCGGGGCUUGGGUGUGAGCGUGCUGAAUCAGAACUUUCCUGGAAAGUCGCCACUUGGUGUGGUCAGAGGAUCACUGAACUCCCAGCCACUCUCUUUUACAGAGCCCGCAGAGCGUGGACGGCCACCCAGCCUUCCUGGUUUACAUGAUCAUGGGGAGAGCCUGUCAAAAGCAACUGCACAGACCCUGUGCUUAAGAUGGCAGGAUCGCAAGACAGAGCAACUGGAGCAAGUCCUCAUUAAGAAGAGCCGCCCGAUGCAUUUGGACCGCGAUAUGUUACACCCACGAGAUUUCAGGAUAGGCCGUGGCCUAUCCUCUUCCAGCAGAUACAGAAGAUACUGCAGUUUGCAACUUUGCAGAUGCCAGCAGAGGAAGAAAAACAUGGGAGACUGCUGAUAACCUAAUGUGGAGACUUAAACUUCAGCCAGACAAAGGCGGAAUCUUAAUAUGGAGGGGCCUGGCUCUGCAGGGAGAUCACCUGGGCUGGCUGGAUUUCAAUCCAGUUGCCCAGCAAAAGUUACGACCCGAGCUUUGCCGAUGCUGAGCCUUCUACUCUCAGGGAUUCCAAAGCAUUUGAUAAACUCUUUGUUCCAUUGUUUACUGACUUCCUAGUGCUUGUCUUGUUCUGCAGUUAUUUUUAUUUUUUAGUUUACUUAUGAUCUGCCCCUCUCUCCCAUCUCCC